GGGGCCGAUAUGGUUUCGCCCGGACAUGUGAGGAUGGAUGUGGCGCGUCGUGGCGCCCGCUUGCCACGUAAAAAGCGGGCACAAACACAGUUGCCAACAGCAACUACGCUCUCGCUGCCUAAUUAGGUAGCGACGAGCCCCGGACCGCGGCCCGACGGUCCGGAGGCUCGAAAUCUCGGGCUGGUCCGCCGGCGGGUUCCCGGGGAAGCGGACGAGAAACCACUGGGAACUAGGAACGCGACGAGCCUGGCCUGGGCGCGUCCGAACCGAAUGCAAAUCAGACGCCUACACGCGUAGAGGCGUCCAUCCGACUGCUCCGGCACGGGGGUUCGAUUCCCCCCGGCUCCAUUC
rnacentral:tmRNA from 1 species